GUGCCUGUGGCUCAAAGGAGUAGGGCACUGGCUCCAUAUGCCAGAGGUGGUGGGUUCAAACCCAACCCUGGCCA
rnacentral:tRNA from 1 species